ensembl:lncRNA
CGCUGGGGACGCGCGCGGCCGAGCCCGCCGCCCGCCGCUGCCGCCGCCGCUGCCGCCGCCGCCGCCAGAUGAGGUCUCAGUUUGUAGUGCAGGCUGACCUUGAACUCGCGGUGAUCCUCCUGCCUCGGCCUCCCAAGUGAUGGAAUUAUAGGUGGUGUUUGGACACUAGACCAUGUGCCUAGGUAGUUUUCCUUUCUCUGCAGCUCUACUCUCCCAGCAACGCUCACCACACCCUUGUUUUGAGAACCUCACUAAGGUAUGAUGUCUAGGCUGACCUGAGCUGGCCUUGAAGAGCUGAGUUUGAACACAAGAGGGCUUUUCUGUUCCUUGGGUUGGUUUUGUUUUUGGUGGUAAAAUAUGCACAAGAAAAUUUAUCAUUUUUAAGUGUACAAUUCACUGGGAUUAAGUGCAUUCACAGCCAUGUAGCCCUAAGCCCCCACUCAUUUCCAGAACCUUCUAUCAUGUCAGCUUGUAACUCUGAACCCAUCAGAUGGCUGCUCCCUGCCUCCCUCCUCCAUACCCCUGACCCACUAUUCAAUUUUCUGUCUGAAUUUACCUAUUAGGAAUGUUGUAUAAGUGGGCUCAUUCAGAAUGUGUCUCUAUAUCUGGCUUAUCACUCAGUAAAACAUCUCCAUGUUAUAGUGUUCAUCAGAAAUUUUUUUCUUAUUUACUCCUUUUUUAUGAUGUUAGAGAUUAUACCCAGGGCCUCACCUAUUCUAGACAAGUGCUCUACCACUGAGCUACAACCCCCAGCGCCUUUCCUUUCUAAGGCCGAGUAAUACUUCAUUUGAGUAUAUCCCGCAUCUUGUUUAGCUGUGGACGCAGGAUCCUUGGGCUGCUUCUACCUUUUGGGUAUUGUGCCUAAUGCUGCUGUGAACAAGGGUGUGCUGAUAUCUUGAGAGCCUGCUUUUGGUUGUUUUGAGUCCAUACCCAGAAACACAAUUGCUGGUUCAUGUCCUUUUUUUGUUUUGUUUUGAUUUUUCAGACAGGGUCUUGCUGUAGUCCAAGCUGGUCUAGAACUCACAGUGAUCAUCCUGCCUCAGCCUCUUGAGUGCUGGGAUUACAAGUGUGCACCACCAUACCUGGCACAUGUCAUUUUCUUUUUUAAUUUUCCAAGAAACUGCCACGCUGUUGUCCAUAAUGGUUAUACCAUUUUAUAUUACCUCUAGGAAUGCGUAAGGAUUUUACUUUUCCUCAUUCUUGCCAACAAUUGUUAUUUUCUAUGGGUUUUUUUUUUUUUUUUGGUACGGGGAUCCAGAACUCUGGACUUUGUGCUUGCAAAGCAGGUGGCGGAACCACUGAGCUAAAUCCCUGGCCCUGUUAUUUUCUGUUUUUAAUUAGUGUAAUAACUCCCUGAUGGGUGUGACCUUGGUGGUUGUCUCACCAUACCCUUGGCAUCUACUAGCCAACGCCUGGGUCCUUAUGGUCCUGAAAUUCACAAAGGUACCCCAUGUCACCCUAGGAACAUCUAGUUACGUGUAUGGGAGAGAGGAGGAGGGGGAACGAGAGACCAGAGAGGCUGGGAGAGACGCUAACCAGCUCCUGACUCCUGUGCUGAUCUGUGGCCACCAUGGUGACACUUCAAUGUGAACAGCGUGCUCCCUGCUGGUGUCCCAGUGAACCUUUCCGUUAGAGAGUUGCUGGGAUGGUUGCCUGCUUAUGGCAGACACAGUCAGUGGCAGCCUCAGGGCAGCAGGUGAGGGGAGAGUGAUCCUGUGGAGUGGCCACUUCCUCUGCUGGGGUGGAGGUUUGGUUUCUAGCAGGUCUAAGGCUCUUGGCUUCUGGCUUAGAUUUCCCCAUGACCCAGAGGUGAUGCUUUUACAUAGUCCAGUGGGAGGGCUGCCCCCAGGGUAUGUGAGCAAGAGGGACCUGUGCCCUUUUCAGGUCCACAGUGGAGCGCCUAGGUAGCAAUGAGGUCUGUGUGCAAGCAGGGCCCAAGGAGAGGAGGAUGGAGGAUGAGAUGCCUCAGUCUCAGCUGUGUAGAUGCUGCUGUCUGUGCCUGGUUUCUGCUUCUCAGCUUCAUAGUCCUGCUAUAGUUCUAGUUUUCUUUGUCUUUAAUAUGACAGCUUUUUGAGAUAAUUCACAUGCCAUAUAGUUUGCCCAUUUGAAAUGUGUGGUCAGGGGUUUUUAGUUGCUCACAGAUUUGUUUCCUGUCUCCUGAAGAGCCCCAUGGUUCCCAUAACAUACCUUCUCUUUACCUUCUCUCUCCCUAGUGUUGAACUGAUCCCACCCUCCAGAUAGUCAUCCUUAUCUCAUUUGGCCAGAAGGUAUCUUCCACUGAUAAAAUAUUUAAAUUUAAUGAGCUCUUGCCAGGUUUGGGGACAUGCAACUGUAAUCCCAUGCUUGAGAGGCCGAGGCAGGAGGAUCUCUGAAAGUUUGAGGCUAGCCUGAGUUACAUAGUGAGUUCAAGGCCUGAACUAUACAGUGAAACUGUCUCAACAAAACAAAACAAAGAAAGAAACAAAAACCCCCCAAACAAAAUAAUAAUCAGCCCCUAAGGAGGUCCUGGAUUCAUAGACAAGGGCUAUGUUAGUCUCUUCCCACUAGUGAGGCCCCUUUAACCUUGAAGGUCUAUUUAUAAAGUUUUAAAGGGUUAGGUGUUUUUUGGUACCGAGGAUGAACUCAGGUCCUUAACUCAGGUCCUUAGGCGGCGAAACCACUGAGCUAAAUCCCCAGCCCCAGGGUUAGGUGUUGUAGGCCAGUGGUAGUGUGUGUUUAGCAACACAAGACCCUGGGCUCAAUCUGUAGUGUACACGUGUGUACAGACACACACACAGAGGUGUUUUUGAGAUAGUCUUAAACUCACUGUAGCCCAGGCUGGCCUGGAACUAACAGCAAUCCUCCUGCCUUAGGCUCUGGGAUUAAGUGCUGGGAUUACAGGCGUGCAUCACCACGCCCGCCCAGUAGCUCUGUCCUACUCUAUUGGUGGGUUAGCUUCUAGUAAACAUGGUGGUGCACACAUAGUAAAGAAAUGAAUAAUGAUGUAUGUCAGCAAGUGCUGUAAGAACAGCAGACUGGAGGGACCGAGCUUGGGCUUGGAUGCUCCUGUGGGACGGUCUUAGAGAGUACCUGACAGAGGGACAGGAUUGCAGGCCUGACAGGCAUGCUGAAGUGCCCUCCAGAGGUGUGGGGCCGGAGCCACCGUGCACUUGGGGACAGCAGGAAGACUAUGCCAGGCUGUGCUGGUUGUGCAGGACUGGCUGCUUCAGGGGGCCAUGGUUGCCACAGUUUUCUGCUCAAGAGGGUGUGAUAUGAUGCCAUUUUGAGAGCAGUUUUGGCUGCUCUGUUGGGCCUGACUAUAGAGGUCCUGGAUGGCAGCAAGAGCCCAGCCUGCAGGCACUGUGGGGGUGGACUAGUGGUGCAAAGGCCAGAGGUGGGAAAGGUGACAGGAUGUGUCUUCUGAAGGUGUGGUUGGCAGCAUUUGCUUGUGGAUUAGAUGAAGGCUAUGAAGGAAAGAGGCUGUGGCCAAAGCAACUGGAAGGGUGGAGUUGUCAUUUACUGAAGUGGGGAUGAUCAUAAGAGGGAAUCAAGGGUUAGAUGUUAGACACUGUGAAGUGUGAGGUUUCUGGUAGGCAUCUGAGUGGAGAGCCAAUCUAGAAAUCCCUGGGAUUUAGCUCAGUGGUUUCACUGCCUGCCUCAAAUGUCCAAGGUCCCGAGUUCAAUCCCCAGUACCAAAAAAAAAAAUUCAGUGCAUGCCUACCUAGGAACUCUACUGGAAUAAUUAUAAUGGAGAUAGAAAGUCAUGCUAUGGGGAAGAAAUGUACCAUGCAGGGAGCAUGAGGGAGGGGGAGGGCGACGUCUCUAGGGAUCCUGUGUCUUCCAUGAGCCUUUGGGGGCCCCUGGGUCACCUCGGAGUAGGGCCUGGCCCUCCAGGUUGUGUCCUCCGUAAGCCCAGCUGUAUGUAGUGGCAUUUGGUGAUUGGUGCUUGUGCUCCCCCUCUCUGAGCCCCGAAUCUCCAUGUGUAAAGUGAAGAGGUUGAACUAGACCAGGGGCUGGAAAUACCUGGGCAGCUUCACAUCAGAGUGGUGGCCCAGGCCAGAUGGCCAUCAGUGCUGGAGUCACCCCAUGGUGCUCCUUGCAGCCAGCCCAGCAGCAGUCUUCUGGCAGCAUUAGAAGACCAGUAGACUAGGGAAUUUCUUUCUAUUUUCUUAGUUUGGUUUUUGUUGUUGGUUUUUUGUUUUUGUUUUUUGGAGACAGGGUCUCGCUAUGCAGUUCAGGCUGGCUUUGAACUUCCUAUUCAGCUCAGGUUGGCCUCAAACUCACAGUGAUCAUCCUCCCUCAACUCCCCCAGUGCUGGAAUUACAGGGGUGUGCCACCACCCCCAGCCUUGGUUUAUGUUUUGAGACAGGGUCUCAAAAGGUAAUUCAUGCUGCCCUUGAAAUCAUUAUGUAGGCCAGGCUGGCCGAAGUGCUGGGGUUAUAGGCCUGUGUCACCAUCAGCGGGUUUGGACCAGAUAAUUUCUGAGGUCCCUUUUGGCCCUGACAUGCUGUGAAUUGCUGCCAUGGGAUUCAGUUCCUGGGAGAUGGGCACUUUGUUUGGGGUGGUAGAGAAAGACCCCUGGGCAGGGUAGGUGAGGGGAGGUGCCUCAGGAAUGGUCGGGUCUUGAGGCCACGGCUGCAGUAUCAGCUCCUGACCCCUGGGUGCUGUGGAGCAGUCCCCUGAGCAGUGGAGAAGAUGGAAGACUUGUGACCUCUGCACCCUGGAGAGGGCUACGGUAGAGGGAGCCGGGUGUCCAGAGGAAGAGGACGAGGAGG